rnacentral:rRNA from 1 species
AUGAACGCUAGCGGCAUGCGUAUUAUACAUGCAAGUCGUGGGGGCAGCAUGACUGUAGCAAUACGGUUGAUGGCGACCGGCAAACGGGUGCGUGAACACGUACACAUACCUUCCUUAUAGUGGGGGAUAGCCCAGGGAAGCUUGGAUUAAUACCCCGUAACAUAUUGAAAAGGCAUCUUUUUAAUAUUAAAGCUCCGGCGUCUUAAUGAUGGGUGUGCGUACUGUAUUAGGUAGUGUUGGCGGAGUAACGGCCCACCAAGCCUACGAUCAGUAACUGGUGUGAGAGCACGACCAGUCACACGGGCACUAUGACACGGGCCCGACUCCUACGGUAGGCAGCAGUAAGGAAUAUUGGUCAAUGGACGCAAGUCUGAAACCAGCCAUGCCGCGUGGAGGAUGAAGGUCCUCUGGAUUGUAACUUCUUUUAUCUGGGAAGCAAACCCACGGAUUCUUCUGUGGGUGACGGUACCAUACCAGAAGAAGACUCCGGCUAACUACGUGCCAGCAGACCGCGGUAAUACUAGGUGGCUAGCGUUGUCCGGAUUUAUUGGGCGUAAAGAGCGUGUAGGCGGCCAGGUAGGUCCGUUGUGAAAUACUGAGGCUCAACCUCUCAGCCGUCGACGGAAACCCUUGGCUAGGAGUCCGGAUAGAGGAGAGUGGAAUUCCUGGUGUAGCGGUGAAAUGCGCAGAUAUCAGGAAGAACCCCGUGGACGAAGGCGGCUCUCUGGAGACGGUACUUGACGCUGAGACGCGAAAGCGUGUGGGAUGCGCUAAACAGGAUUAGAUACCCUGGUAGUCCACGCCGUAAACGAUGGGUGCUAAGGUGUUGGGCUGGUGUCGACUCCGUCCGUGUCCGACGCUAACGCAUUAAGCACACCCGCCUGGGGAGUAACGGCCGCAAGGCUAAAAUCUCAAAGGAGAUUGACGGGGGCCCGCACAAGCAGCGGAGCAUGUUGUUUAAAUUUCGACGCGACGCGAAGAACAUUACCAGGGCUUGACAUGCACGGGAAUGUCGUAGAAAUACGGCAGCCCUUCUGGGCUCGUGCACAGGUGGUGCAUGGCUGUCGUCAGCUCGUGAUCGUGAGAUGUUGGGUUAUAGUCCCGCAACGAGCGCAACCCCUGUCCCAUGUUGCCAGCGUGAAAGACGGGGACUCAUGGGAGACUGCCGGUGACAAAUCGGAGGAAGGUGGGGAUGACGUCAAGUCAUCAUGCCCCUUAGGUCCUGGGCUACAAACGUGCUACAUUGGCCGGUACAAAGGGCUGUCAACCUGAGUACUGGGUGAGCGAUAUCCAAAAAGCCGGUCCCUGGUUCAGAUUGGAGGCUUGAAACUCGCCUCCAUGAAGGCGAGUUGCUAGUAAUCGCGGAUCAGCAACGCCGCGGUGAAUAUGUUCCCGGGCUCUUGUACACACCGCCCGUCACACCACGUAAAGUCGGCAAUACCCGAAGCGGUGGCCUAACCCGCAAGGGAGGGAGCCGUCGAAGGUAGGGUCGAUGAUUGGUGAG